rnacentral:snRNA from 1 species
GUGCUCACUGUGGCAGCACAUAUACGAAAAUUGGAACGCUACAGAGAUUAGCGUGGCCCCUGCACAAGGAUGACAUGCAAAUGCAUGAAGUGAACUUUUUUUUU